UAUCCGUAAUAGGGAGACCAGAGUGAC
rnacentral:sRNA from 1 species